CUCACUCUGUGUCUCACUGUUCCUUGUUCCUGAUUUCCAGAGCAAACCUGUUCCGAGAAUUGGGUCACAAAUAAAAACUGGUGUUAUUACGUUUCCACGUUUGUAACAACUUUAUACAAAGCGAUUCAAGAAUGUUCAAACCGUGAUUCAAGGCUGCUCGAAAUCAAUUCAAAGGAUGAAGCGAACUUUGUAUCCCGCAAUCUUGUGAACCAAACCCGCAUAUACUGGAUUGGAAAAUGCGAAAACAGGAAUGCGAGCUUCCGUCUCCUGUAUAAGGAGAUUUCGGGGACGCCCUACUGCUGGCAGUGUGAUCCGACUGCAGUCAGUAGGAAUUAUCCUUGCGAUCUUGAUCAGCAUUUCAUCUGCGAGAAGUCGUUGUUGCCGG